GUCCUAGUUGCAUCCAUCUUCCUACAAAUGCCGUGAUUUCAUGCUUCUCUGUGACUGCAUAAAACCCCAUUGUACGCAUGAGCAGUUUCUUUAUCCCUUCAUCUGCUGAUAGGCCUCAAGGGAUUUCAUAUCUUGGCUAUGAUGAAUGGUUCAGUAAUAAACACGCAUGUGCAAGGCCUCUCCUACAGUGACCAAGCAUCCUAAAGACACAUACUCAGGGGUGGUGUCGCUGAAUCAUACAAUAGUUCCACUUUCAUUUUUGAGGAUGCCCACACCAACUUUCAUACCAGCUGCGGCCACUGGCAUUCCUGUCACCAGUGAAUAAAGAUCCCCUUUCCCAUAUCCUCACCAGCAUUUGUUGUCAUUUCCCGUCUCAAUGGCAGCAAGUCUGGGUGGGAUGGGACCUCAGAGAAGCUGCCAUUGGCAUUUCCCAGAAGGCUAAGGAUGUGGACCGCCUCCUCAAAUAUUCAUUGGCCAUUUGUAUUUCUUCCCUGAAAACCAACUGUCCACUGGCCUAAAAUAAUAUAAAUGACCUUUUCUGGGAAGGACAUCUCAUCUGAAACAAAUGACCUCUUAAAGGCAAGACCCACUGUAUGUUAAGUUCUCAGCCAAGGCUGAGACCAAAGGAAAACUGCUCAGCACCUGGUUUUGCUUGCUCAGGAGGAAGCUGUGGCUUCAAGGAAGAGCUCUGGUCACGUUCUUCACCCUUACAAAGCUCUAGAGGGGAAGCUGAUUGACUGUGCUCCAUCUCCGCUGAAUUCCAGAGCUAUCCAGUGUGUCUUCAUGAACUUAACCUCCAGCCCUGUCUGCCCUGUUUCCCACAACAGCACCUAGAGGACUCCUUCUGCUGGCAUCCUCUUCUGGGAUCACAUGGCGUCCAUAGAGAAAAGAGCAGGAGGAAGAGCAAAAGGAAGAGAGCGAUUUCCUCUUUGUCUCUGCUUAUAUUCUGAGUCUGCGUGCUAUGUCACUUCCUGCCUGGAUCACAAGACUUCUUUUUACUACCUUUCCCAGAAUCUUCCUCAACUCCUAGUCCUUCCUAACUUGCUGCCUCAUUGGCCAAACAGUGCUUUAUUCAACAACCAAUAAAAUAAACAUACACAGAAGGACGUCCCCCAUCAGCUUGCUCAGCCUGCUUUCUUCAGGAAUCCAGGACCACCUGCCCAAGGUUAACCAAGAAAAUAUCCCACAGACCUACCUACAGGCCAAUGUGAUAGAGGCAAAUCCUCAACUAAGAUUCUCUUUUCCCAGAUGACAUAAGUACUUCAAGUUGAAAAAAAAAAAAAAACUAUCACAGGAAGUUAAGUAGAUGCAUGUCCCUGGACAUAAGAGCUUACAGACCACAUUGGCAAUCUGGCACAACAGACAGAUGCAUCCAGUAACAAAACUAAAACACAGAGUGCAGAAAUCAGUGGGACAACAAAAAGAAACAAACACCCAUUUUCACAGUGGGAGAGGCUCAGUUUCCUCCCUCAUUAACAAAUGGACAAAGCAAAUGAACCAGGGAAUGAAGACCACCCAACACACUGGGUGACUCUGAUUGUUCCCUGACCUGGGAAGGGCAUUACUGGCACAGUUAAUGGUCUCGAGGAUCUGUGAUUUAAUUCAUUCAUGCUAAUUUUGUGAUUCUGAGAGCUGAGCCUUGUAUAUAAAAGAAAAAACACACCACAGUAUCAAUGGUAAUGAGCCAUCAUAUGUGAAACCUAUUCUCACUCCAAACACUGCCAACCAAUUGAAGGCAACCAAUCAGGGUAAGCCAUCUUUUCUAUUCUCUACCCUCCAUUACCCUGCAGCUCUUGCCCACCUCCAUUUUCUUACUAUAAUGAUUGAAUUUCCUGAUUCCAAAUCAUACGGGGAUUGAAUGUGACUUUCCAAACAUUCAAGGUGGAUC
rnacentral:lncRNA from 1 species